AGGACGAACGCUGGCGGCGUGCUUAACACAUGCAAGUCGAGCGGAAAGGCCCUUCGGGGUACUCGAGCGGCGAACGGGUGAGUAACACGUGAGUAACCUGCCCUUGGCUCUGGGAUAGCUCCGGGAAACCGGAAUUAAUACCGGAUAUGACUUCGGCCGACAUCGGCUGCGGUGGAAAGAUUUAUCGGCCAGGGAUGGGCUCGCGGCCUAUCAGCUUGUUGGUGGGGUAACGGCCUACCAAGGCGACGACGGGUAGCCGGCCUGAGAGGGCGACCGGCCACACUGGGACUGAGGCACGGCCCAGACUCCUACGGGAGGCAGCAGUGGGAAUAUUGCGCAAUGGGCGAAAGCCUGACGCAGCGACGCCGCGUGGGGGAUGAAGGCCUUCGGGUUGUAAACCCCUUUCGGCAGGGACGAAGCGAAAGUGACGGUACCUGCAGAAGAAGCGCCGGCUAACUACGUGCCAGCAGCCGC
rnacentral:rRNA from 1 species